UUGCCUGGCCAAAGUACUUAAGCUAAGUCAACUUUUCCGUCAGGCCGAUAACGUACAAAGAAAUUGCAUGGACAUUCCAUAAAUAGGCUAAGAAUUGUCAUCUUUUAUGAGAAUAUUGUGACCAAGGCCUCAUAUAUGUGUAAAAAGUGGAACGAGCCCGUAAAACAGUUGAAAAGUACGCAUAAGAAUGUCAUAUUUACGCAUUGCCAGAGGAGCAAAAGCUGGCAGCAAGAGCGAAUUUAAAACACAUACACAGCGAAACACUUGACUUGAUUAGCCAAAUUCCAUAACAUGGCAAAAAAAACUAGCUACAUAAUAAAUAAGUUUAAAAAAGAGCAAAACCAACAACAAGCUGCUCAAAAUUGUUUAUGGUGCGACUCCAAACUUGAAAGCAAAGACAAAAAACUAAAAAACAAAUACAAAACAAAAAAUAAAGCAAAAAAGGAAAACCAAAAAGCAAAGCAAAAGCAAAGCAAAAUCACGAGAGGGAGAGAAGUCAUUUUUGGUGAGAAAUUUCACUCGAGUCAGCGGAAGGCGAGGCGAGUUUCAAGGUUGCCAGCGAUUUUUCUAUGAUAAUGGAACAGGUGAACCCUGAAAAGGGGAAUUGAACAGAUGACAAAAUGAGCUACGAAAUACAAAUACCAUCAACAAAGUGAAAUAGAAGAGGAUGUUGUAUAGAGAUCGGAUUAAUUGAGGGUUUCAAAUUGGUAAAGUUAUCGCUAUUAAAAGAAGAUCAACGUGAAACUUUCGCUAUGUUAACAAUUUGAUUUGACGAAAGAUUAUUAGGAACGCAAUAAAUUGUGAAUGCAUUU